rnacentral:rRNA from 1 species
UACGUAGGGUGCAAGCGUUGUCCGGAUUUAUUGGGCGUAAAGAGCUCGUAGGCGGUUUGUCGCGUCGGAUGUGAAAACCCAGGGCUCAACCCUGGGCCUGCAUUCGAUACGGGCAGACUAGAGUAUGGCAGGGGAGACUGGAAUUCCUGGUGUAGCGGUGAAAUGCGCAGAUAUCAGGAGGAACACCGGUGGCGAAGGCGGUUCUCUGGGCAUUACCUGA